UAGAGUUUGAUCCUGGCUCAGGAUGAACGCUGGCGGUCUGCUUAACACAUGCAAGUCGAACGGGCUCUUCGGAGCUAGUGGCGGACGGGUGAGUAACGCGUGAGAAUCUGCCUUCAGGAGGGGGAUAACGACUGGAAACGGUCGCUAAUACCCCAUAUGCCUCCGGGUGAAAAGUAAUUCGCCUGAAGAUGAGCUCGCGUCAGAUUAGCUAGUUGGUGGGGUAAGAGCCUACCAAGGCGACGAUCUGUAGCUGGUCUGAGAGGAUGAUCAGCCACACUGGGACUGAGACACGGCCCAGACUCCUACGGGAGGCAGCAGUGGGGAAUUUUCCGCAAUGGGCGCAAGCCUGACGGAGCAAGACCGCGUGGGGGAUGACGGCCUAAUGGUUGUAAACCCCUUUUCUCUGGGAAGAAGACUGACGGUACCAGAGGAAUCAGCCUCGGCUAACUCCGUGCCAGCAGCCGCGGUAAUACGGAGGAGGCAAGCGUUAUCCGGAAUUAUUGGGCGUAAAGCGUCCGUAGGUGGUUAUUCAAGUCUGCUGUCAAAGCGUGGGGCUUAACUCCAUAGAGGCAGUGGAAACUGAGUGACUAGAGUGCGGUAGGGGUCGAGGGAAUUCCCAGUGUAGCGGUGAAAUGCGUAGAUAUUGGGAAGAACACCAGUGGCGAAAGCGCUCGACUGGGCCUGCACUGACACUGAGGGACGAAAGCUAGGGGAGCGAAAGGGAUUAGAUACCCCUGUAGUCCUAGCCGUAAACGAUGGAUACUAUGUGUUGCUCGUCAUCGACCCGAGCAGUGCCGUAGCCAACGCGUUAAGUAUCCCGCCUGGGGAGUACGCUCGCAAGAGUGAAACUCAAAGGAAUUGA
rnacentral:rRNA from 1 species